UAAAGCUUUAGCCAUUGUUUUAGGACCGUUCAUGGCACUAUCGCCACCCAUAUAUGGCCCACCGCUGUCCUCUACUUCAUUACUACGCCUUAUACUCUGCGCAUAAUGAUGCUGCAACGUAGUUAAAUCAAGGGCUUGGAAUAUCCGUUGCCGGAUGAUCGACCCAAUGGGUAUCGUUGAGCCAGUACCCUUGGUUGUCAUCGGCGAGCAAAGCUUCGUAGCUUCGCCUUAGAUAUUCUACAUCUUCCGCGUCUAUUCCUUUAGUGGUUUUGUAAGCUUCGCCUUAGCAGGAGCAGGUACAACAGGACCUCGAGACUCGGUUACAGAUGGUUCUGGUGCAGCUGGCGGAAGAGAAUACGAAUGUUCCAUGUACACUUGGGAUGCCUGAGAUCCAGGAGAACUCGGACUAUGCUGACCGUUGAGGCUGUAAUACCAGAUUCAAACAGUCGAUAGCUGAUUAAAACCCAGCAAGGCAACUGGAUGUAAUAUCAACAAAUGUAUAAUGGGCAUUAAACAAUCCUUUGUAAAAGCUGCAA